AGGGUUUCCUGGUGAACCACUGGCAGAUGGUUUUACGACAGAGGUGCACUUGACAUUGAGCUACCAAAAUAUAGCCGCAGGGUCCCCUGCCCGACAUGGUUCAGAACCAACAGGCAUACUGAUCCCACAUCAAUGGAAUUGGAACUGGGGCUUCAGAUGAGACCUCUCUGUGGCGAGCAGUGCAGCACUCCAAUGAGCUGCCAGCUCAGCUGCGUGGUGUAUAGUCCAUUGACUAGCCAGCUAAGGACAACGGGCCAGGAAUGUCAGGGACUUCAUUGUUCGGGCUGUCCCUCUGAAAAUAAGUGACGUAAGACUGGACGAGGUGACUGGCUUCUAUCCCUGCCAUAGUUGUGCAGCAUGUAAGGUUCCUGUAACAAAGUGAGUGUAUUCAGCAGCUCUGCCAUUGGCAAACAAAACGCUUACAUGCAGCUCUUCUAAUGUGAUAUUCCUUAUCUCCUGUCCAUGCAAUAAAUCCCCUAUUGCAAGUCAUUUCUCAGAGGCUGGUCACAGCGUCUCCUCCAUGUCCUUCUGUGCUAUACAACAGAUGAAACAUUCAAGUAGGGGUGGUAAAAGCUUGUACUUAGUCUUCUCCAGACAGAAUGCAGGUGGAUGUUCUAUUUUUUAAAAAACUCUUCACCCAUCAGGCAUGAAUGGCAUGAAUGAAGAAUUGUUAUUGAAGGGUUUUAUGUAACUGGUAUAUUGCCUCAUUGGUGUUCAACACCCCCAUCUAGUGGUGUCUCUAGCACCCUACUCUACAAUCCUGUGUUUUUUAUUCUGAGGAAUGUUCACAUGUAAAAGCAAUAAUUGAUGAUAUUUCUCUGCCCGCUUUUGUAUCAUGCAUUCUAUUCUACUAUGCACAGAUUUAUAGAUUACCUGAUGUGUUUUCUUGCUUGAUCAUGUGACAUGCAAUUACCCUUGAAAUAGAAGCCAGGUGUGUGUGCCGACAUUCACACCAAUGAUGGCCUGAGGCCGAAACGUUCGUGUUUCGUUUUCACCCUUCAUUUAUGCACUAUGAUGUUUUAAUAACCAGCUUUAUUUU
rnacentral:lncRNA from 13 species